GAAAUUAGUCUAAUAAUUAUAACUUAAAAAUAUUCAUGUAACCACUUUUGAGCAUCUAGAAUGAGUAUGGCAUUGGGCUAACACAAAUCCCAGGAAGAUGAAUAAUUAAAUAACCCUGUCCUCAAGGAACAGAUUUCCAGUGAUGUUCAAAGAUGAGAGGACAGGAAACAUGUCUGUAAAUUCUCAGUGCACCAAUAAGAGUGAAUGACAUAAAAUGUACCCUGGAUAAUAAUUUACCCAUCGUGUGACCUAUUUCCAAUCUCUGAAAUGGAUACUUGGAAAAAUUAACUACAUUUCAAGUAGGUCACAGGUUCCCUGAUGACAAGCUCCGCACCUUAGUCACCGCUGUAUCCAUAGAGCCUUCACUUCCUGGGAAUUGUUGAGGGAUGAAUGGACCUCUGAGAUACUAUUCAAUUACCUGUGCAAUUAUCAAUAUAAGGCACAGUCCUUUUCCUAUUGAUCCAUCCAUUUCCCCAAUUGUGAAGUAGGGCAAAGUUUAUCUCGAUGCCACGGAGUUAUGCAAGCCCUUUUGUAGAUGCUAUGGAAAGAAGUCACCCAACCAGCACGAACAACCAGAUCUGAAGACAUAGAUUGAGACACACGUGUGUCACAGUUUUCUUUAAGAUGAACAGGCGUUCAUGAUGCUUCUGAAGCAAUGUCCUGGCAAGGAUCGCUCACUGCACCUGAAGCUCAUCAAGUCAUCUAGGAUGGUUUGCCAGGUAAAAUAUCACACAUGGCUGUCUUUGGUCUACACUCAACGGACUUGAAACCUUACCUCUGUCCUCUCUAAUUGCACACCUGCUGUCUCCACCCUGGCUUCCUGGCCUCCUGCCAAAUAUACCAGGUAUCCUGACCUCCCACCCCACCCCAAAGUCUGUGCUUACUCCCACAGCAAGGCUCUCUGCCUUGACAACCAAAUGACUCUCAUCUCUAGGUUUUGCCCCAGUGACCUUUACAGUGAAUUUUUCCUGAUCUUUUUAAAAUGGAGCUGCAUCCUCCUUCCCCACACCAGUACAAGUCCAAUGUGCCAUGUACAGUCCUCCAAUAUUUGUUACCAAAUGGCAAACUCUGCAUUAUUGGUUUAUUAACUUGCUCUAGAAAUUCAGCUCUUGCAGUGUGAGAAGUCUGAACUCCACCUCACUACUGUGUUCCGAAGUCCUAGACUAGCACCUGGUAUACAGUAAGCACUAAAUAAAUGUCUGCUUAAACAGAUAGGAAUCCUAGCGGUUUCUGACACAUCUGGUUUCCAACACACACAAAACAAGCCUCACAGUCCACAUGAAUGUCAAUUCUGCUGACUUGAAGGAGGCACUAACCAAACAGCAUGAUUAUUUUCCACUCCUGUGAGACCCCUAUGUUCCCUGCACAUCCUGUGUCUCUCUUAUAGUUGGAAUCCAGUCUGGACACUAAUUCCUGAUUAAUGGAAACCUGAAAAGAAUUGGCCUAAGACACUUGAGACAAUGUGUCUCGUCUCCUCUCUCCCUUCCUUUUUCCAACACAAAACUCAGAAGUCAGUUUAUAGCCUUGGAGGCUCCAGCCUAAGAAGUCUAGAUCCCUAGUUGAUAGGCAGAAAAGAGCUUUUCCAAUGUGUACAGCCUUCCAUGGAUAAGAAAUAUGCUUUUGUUGCAUAAAAGCAUUGAAAUUUCUAGGUUGUUAAUGGCUUUUUGCAGCAUCAAAUGGCUUUAUUCUAAUACCAGAUCCCAGCCAUUUAAUCCAAGGGUAUUUAUCAAGCAAAUACUGUAUAUACUCUCCAUGAUGGAAGCAAUUGGGAAUCCUGAAGAAUUUGAUACAAUCAUUGGCCUAAAACAGCUUAUAACUGGGACUCAAAUGCAAGAUGAGCACAUAUGUUAUAGGAAGGGAACCAUUCAGACAUGUAAAACCUCUUAAAUGACAUGGAACCAAUUCAGAGCAAAAGGAAUUCAGAAGGAUUCCAAGACACCAUUUGCAGUAAAAUCAGAUCUUACCACCGAACAAUGCCAAUCAACUUGGAAAACUGUCUCUGGAGUUUCUUACAGAAUGGCUGUAUUUAUCUAUUCAACUAGUUUCUUUUUCUGGUCAGGAAAAAGUAUGCAUAGUUUAAUACUCCAAGGUUGUUUAUAAUUUUGACUAAUUUUGUUUUGUCUUAUUUCAGUCUUAUUAAUCCAUCAGAAAGCACAUGAUCUUUAAAAAUCCAAAGAUAACAGGAUAAAGUAAAUAAAAGAAUAAGUUUUUCCUUUUUAUAAUGAUUUGCUAACAGUCUUUUUCAAGAUGUAUUUCUAUGGUUAAAUUCAUG